rnacentral:rRNA from 1 species
UGGGGAAUAUUGGACAAUGGGCGCAAGCCUGAUCCAGCCAUGCCGCGUGAGUGAUGAAGGCCUUAGGGUUGUAAAGCUCUUUCGCCGGUGAAGAUAAUGACGGUAACCGGAGAAGAAGCCCCGGCUAACUUCGUGCCAGCAGCCGCGGUAAUACGAAGGGGGCUAGCGUUGCUCGGAAUCACUGGGCGUAAAGCGCACGUAGGCGGAUCGUUAAGUCAGGGGUGAAAUCCUGGAGCUCAACUCCAGAACUGCCCUUGAUACUGGCGAUCUCGAGUUCGAGAGAGGUUGGUGGAACUCCGAGUGUAGAGGUGAAAUUCGUAGAUAUUCGGAAGAACACCAGUGGCGAAGGCGGCCAACUGGCUCGAUACUGACGCUGAGGUGCGAAAGCGUGGGGAGCAAAACAGGAUUAGAUACCCUGGUAGUCCACGCCGUAAACGAUGGAUGCUAGCCGUUGGGGGGUUUACCUCUCAGUGGCGCAGCUAACGCCUUAAGCAUCCCGCCUGGGGAGUACGGUCGCAAGAUUAAAACUCAAAGGAAUUGACGGGGUCAUAGCUGUUUCCU